rnacentral:rRNA from 1 species
UACGUAGGCAGCGAGCGUUGUUCGGAAUUACUGGGCGUAAAGAGUGUGUAGGCGGUGCUCUAAGUUCGGUGUGAAAUCUCCCGGCUUAACUGGGAGGGUGCGCCGGAAACUGGAGUGCUCGAGCGUGGGAGAGGAAAGCGGAAUUCCUGGUGUAGCGGUGAAAUGCGUAGAUAUCAGGAGGAACACCUGCUGUGUAGACGUCUUUCUGGACCAUUCCUGACGCUGAGACACGAAAUCGUGGGUAGCAAACAUU